rnacentral:lncRNA from 1 species
AUUGACAGAAGAAAAUUUUCGAAAUUUUCAGUUAACACAUCCAAGACUAAGAUGAUGCGUCGAUUAAAACCGAAAUCAUCAUCAGCCCUUCAUUGUGGCUUUGUAAGAAACUUGAAGGAAAUGACGCAACUAAACUGGGAUUAUCCGAACCGCUUCAAAAAAAUUAAUAAACAAGCGAAAAUGGGCGAACCUGAGAGGGAAUUGACCAGUAAAAGUGCACAGGCUGAGGUUUUUUGCUCGACAAAAAAUAGGUAUCAAAUAUGUACGGACAAUCGACCUCCUCACAAAAUCAUUCUGGAAAAGCCCAGGCACGAACAGGAAAAGCACGUAAACGAUUUGGCAUACCUUCAACCAAAUCGUACACCAACGUUCUUACAAAAACAUUAACUCUAAGUCUCACUUCUAUUGAAAGUGCCAUUGUUGUGCUUGUUUAACAGUCCCGUAUGAUACGAAUAAUAAAAAUAUUAUUUUACCUCCUUCAGAA